AUGAACGCUGGCGGCGUGCCUAAUACAUGCCAGUCGAGCGAACAGAUGAGGAGCUUGCUCCUCUGACGUUAGCGGCGGACGGGUGAGUAACACGUGGAUAACCUACCUAUAAGACUGGGAUAACUUCGGGAAACCGGAGCUAAUACCGGAUAAUAUAUUGAACCGCAUGGUUCAAUAGUGAAAGACGGUUUUGCUGUCACUUAUAGAUGGAUCCGCGCCGCAUUAGCUAGUUGGUAAGGUAACGGCUUACCAAGGCAACGAUGCGUAGCCGACCUGAGAGGGUGAUCGGCCACACUGGAACUGAGACACGGUCCAGACUCCUACGGGAGGCAGCAGUAGGGAAUCCUCCGCAAUGGGCGAAAGCCUGACGGAGCAACGCCGCGUGAGUGAUGAAGGUCUUCGGAUCGUAAAACUCUGUUAUUAGGGAAGAACAAAUGUGUAAGUAACUAUGCACGUCUUGACGGUACCUAAUCAGAAAGCCACGGCUAACUACGUG
rnacentral:rRNA from 1 species